ensembl:lncRNA
CCGGUGGCUCCACAGUCGGCGCAGACCGAGGAAACUAACCUGAACCAGACCCGGAACGGUGUGCGAGAAGGGCACUUUCUUUAGUCCGCGACACGGGACCUGGCUCUUCAACGCGGACAUGUACCGCCCGGGUAACGGACCGCCGCCGUUCGGACCUCCACCCCCCCACGGCCCUCCUUUCAGGCCCCCCGGGCCCUGCGGUGUUCCUCCCCCGGGACAUUUCCUCCACAACAGGCCACCGAGAGAGCAUUUCGUCAUUCUUCAUCCAUGCAUCCCGAUGCCCUCUACAAACUUCCAAUUUUCCUGACAGACGUCAUUUCAACUGCAUGACAACAGACCGUGCGGUCAUAUUUGUCAACACAGUCCAGAUCAGCCACUACCAUUGGCUACUGGCACUACCAUAUUCCUGCUUUACAUUUGAUUGGCCCCACUGUAGCGGCUUCUCCAUAGCUCGUAGUACAGUGAAUGCUUUGGGAGGCGGCCAGCAGAUCGUCUCUCCUGUACAGCCACCGCACAUUGAAGCCCCACAGUGGAACCCCACAGUUGUGGAGCACCACCCUUUGGACAGCAGUGAGCGGGCUGGCGAGGAGUUCCUGAGAUGCAUCGCAGCCAACAAGCCUCUCCCAGACUACCUGAAAGGGAACAUGGAGUUCAACCUGGCUGACGCGUUUAAGUCGGCCGAUGUCCUGAAAGAGGUUCUCAAAUCGGACGCCGAGUUCCAGAAGCUCGCGACCAGGAGCAAAAGCCGCAGUCGAAGCCGCGGAAAAUCUCGAGCCAAGAGCCGAGCGUCCAGCCGAGGCCGAGCGAGGAGCAAAAGCCGAGCGCGGGGCAAGAGCAGGCCGAGGAGCAAGAGCAGGCCGAGGAGCAAGAGCAGGCCGAGGAGCAGGAGCAGGAGCAGGCCGAGGAGCAAGAGCAGGCCGAGGAGCAAGAGCAGGCCCAGGAGCAGGAGCAGGCAUCGCAGUCGGAGUGGGAGCCGGAGCAAGAAGAAGAGUCACAUGCGGAGCAAGAGCCGGGCCAGGAGGUCCAGGUCACGAAGUAGCAGCAGAGAAAAGGGCCACGGCAAAGAGAAGAAGAGGGGCCCCUGCCACAACAGCCUGUUGGAAGGACUGAAGCUGGUCAUGAACAGCAAAGAGCUGGAGGAGCGCUUGCCCACCCUCAAAGAUGCCAUCCUCACUAUUCAGGCCUCGGGCGAAAGCCAAACGGCGGAGAGCGUGCCCACCGAGGACGGACCUCGGCAGCUCGACUGCAACGAGAACGCGACGUCACUGGAGAACGACAGCAUGCUCCUCCCCCACGACAGGGUGGGCAGCGACUUCUCCUGGCUCCAGGUGCAGACUCCUCCCGUCGCCGCUGCCCCGAAGGCGGACGAGCUUGAAGACGAGGAGUCGUUUCUGUACGGGAGUGACGACGCCAGGGGAAAGCAGGCCAACAAAUUCUCCGGCGAACGCCUUGCGGCGUUCCCCCAGAUUAGAGAACGUGCCAAGCGACAGGAAGCGGCCAGUUCGGCCGGUCAGCAACACCAUCAGAACAAAUCCGCACUCGCCUACGCCGACCUGGACAGCAGUGAGUGUGAGAAGAUCAGGAACAUAUUAAAGAGUCUGGGCAAGGCAGACGUCAGCGAGAUGAUGGGGAAGAUGCAGCCGUCUGCUGCACUUCCUGCGUCUGACCGAACGGCGGCGGCCGUGGCUUUGCCCGCGCUGCGUAACCCCGAUGUGCGACACGCUCUGGAGUCUCUACAGUCACUGAUCAAAGCGACAAAAGAGAAGCGUGAAAAAAGCGAUGGCAGUGGCACAUCUCCGGCAUCCCCCGAUAAGCACAAGGCAGGUGACGACGAGGAAAGGGAGAAUGAAAAACAAGCCCGAAUAAGUCAAAUGGAGUCCUUGAUGAAGGAGCUGGAAGGAUUGUUGAAGCAGGACGGGUUGAGUUUUAUGAGUCCAGUAAUCGGGUUUUACUGCCAGAAGUGUGAGGAGUUCAUUGGAGACUUGAACAGUGCUGAAAAGCAUGCAGCCAUCCAUCGCCAUAGCAACUCAAGCAGCCAGAAAGGGCUCAAGGACAAGCCUGCAGGAGACGGCAAGGGACACUCGCGCCAAUUUAGCAACAGCACUCAGCACCCACCCCCCUCGGACCGGACGGGGGACCACAGGAACCACAGAGACCCCCAACGAGACUGGAGGGACGACAGAGACCUCAGGAGCAAACGCCGCCACCACGGCGACGUCAGGGCCCACAGGGCCGGGCAGGACGGCGUCUCCUUGAAGGAGGAGAUGAGGAAGGAGAGGAUGCUCAUCACGGUGUCCCGUGGACUGACGCCUCCUCCGGGCGGCCGGGUGAAGGAGGAGGCCAGCGAGGAGCAGACCGCCGAAGGCCACGGCAAGGUCAAAGUGGAAGACAAGGGGAAAUCCUCCAAGGGCAACAGGGCCAAAGAUGGAAGCAGCGACAGCAGCAGCAGCGACGACGACAACAACAACAACAACAACAACAACAAGGGGAAACAGCAGAAAACCAAAUCCCCGAAAAAGAAGAAGAAGAAAAAGGAGAAGAAGAAGAAGAAGAAGAAGUCCUGA